AGCUUUCUGAAUUCGUGCAGCGAUUUCGUUAAACACCAACCCAUUAGGGCUGAACAGACGUCCAAGAUAAGUGAAGUU
rfam:Schistosoma mansoni strain Puerto Rico chromosome W, complete genome